AGAGUUUGAUCCUGGCUCAGGACGAACGCUGGCGGCGCGCCUAACACAUGCAAGUCGAACGAGCGAGAGAGAGCUUGCUUUCUCGAGCGAGUGGCGAACGGGUGAGUAACGCGUGAGGAACCUGCCUCAAAGAGGGGGACAACAGUUGGAAACGACUGCUAAUACCGCAUAAGCCCACGACCCGGCAUCGGGUAGAGGGAAAAGGAGCAAUCCGCUUUGAGAUGGCCUCGCGUCCGAUUAGCUAGUUGGUGAGGUAACGGCCCACCAAGGCGACGAUCGGUAGCCGGACUGAGAGGUUGAACGGCCACAUUGGGACUGAGACACGGCCCAGACUCCUACGGGAGGCAGCAGUGGGGAAUAUUGCACAAUGGGGGAAACCCUGAUGCAGCGACGCCGCGUGGAGGAAGAAGGUCUUCGGAUUGUAAACUCCUGUUGUUGAGGAAGAUAAUGACGGUACUCAACAAGGAAGUGACGGCUAACUACGUGCCAGCAGCCGCGGUAAAACGUAGGUCACAAGCGUUGUCCGGAAUUACUGGGUGUAAAGGGAGCGCAGGCGGGAAGACAAGUUGGAAGUGAAAUCCAUGGGCUCAACCCAUGAACUGCUUUCAAAACUGUUUUUCUUGAGUAGUGCAGAGGUAGGCGGAAUUCCCGGUGUAGCGGUGGAAUGCGUAGAUAUCGGGAGGAACACCAGUGGCGAAGGCGGCCUACUGGGCACCAACUGACGCUGAGGCUCGAAAGUGUGGGUAGCAAACAGGAUUAGAUACCCUGGUAGUCCACACCGUAAACGAUGAUUACUAGGUGUUGGAGGAUUGACCCCUUCAGUGCCGCAGUUAACACAAUAAGUAAUCCACCUGGGGAGUACGACCGCAAGGUUGAAACUCAAAGGAAUUGACGGGGGCCCGCACAAGCAGUGGAGUAU
rnacentral:rRNA from 1 species